UUUGCAAACUGCUCUCAUCUGCCAGCUCUUCUGAAGCAGCAAGGAAUAUGCUAUGCUGUGGUGCAUAAUGCUUCCUAAGGCUGAUGGGAGGGCUGUUGAGGCCCUAAUGCUUGGAGGCUAUAUCUAACCCCAUGAGCUUGGAGGUAGAAGAGUUUGUCUGCUAUGACCUCUAUGAUGUUCAACUGGAGCUUUUUAAGUGUUUUCACUCGGUGACCUGAACAGAUCUGUUCACCAAAUAUGGUGCGGGGGAAAGGAGAAAAAAAAAAAUAAUCACACGUUUAAAACUGCCUGGCAGAUGUACGUCUCAAGGAUUUGUUAUUGUUCCAUUAUUGUUAUUAUUAAUAGACUUCACUUCACAGGCAAGGCAGGCUUAUCAGCCAAAUGCCUCAUUAUCAAAUGACUGAGACCCAAUAAGUGCUUAACAGCAUUCCUUACCAAAAGAGGAAAUGAUUACAGGCCAGAUCCAAGUCCUGUUAAAGCGAGUGGAUAGAUUCCCACUUCAAUGAAGUAUUGCUUGAGGCCCCUCGGCGCUCGUUCUCCUCCGUGUUUUCUUACAUGCUUUUUAAUUCACCAACAUGAACCAAACAGCUCUAGCUGCUCUCAUCUCACAAUGUGUUCUGCAACUUUUGGAAAGGAACCUGGACACAAGGAAAAAUGCUACAGAACAAAAAGAGCCACAAUACAAACCAUAUGACAAUGCCUAUUUCUUCAUCCUCUUUGUCAUGUUGUUUUACUCUUUCCUGGCAUUAACUGUCUUUUUUGGUUAUGUACGCUCGAAGAAAGCAAUUUCAAAGAAAGAUCCUUACCAGGAGUUCAUCGAGGAUAGGAAUCGAAAUAAGAAGUGGAACAUGACCCGGCCAGUGGUGGUGAAAUUUGACUUUGAAGAAGAAAGUAUUCUUUGAACUGCUUAAACCAAAAUACUCUGCAAAUGCACUGGACUGUCUCUCCUGCCUACAUUUCAAGUGAAGAUCUACACAUUUAUCUUGUUCGUCUGUGCCCCUUUACAAUAAGUCAAAGCAUUGCUUAAAAUAGGUAAUGGCAAAAGGUUUUUUUUUUUUUUUUUUUCUUCAUUUGUUGCUGAAAUGUAGUUUUGCUCAAUAUUGGAAAAUACUUUUUAAUUUUAAAGCAGCAGUGAAAAGUGGCCAUUUUUAGCUCUUGCUUCCAGCUGUGUGGAACAAGAAUGGGAAUCCAUCGUACAUCAAGACUCCAAAUUUACUUAAGACAGAGGACUAGUUUGUGUAUGCACGUACCUACACAAGGGGAAUGCUGUCACUGCUGAGUUGCUCAGACCUGGAAAUCGGUGGGUAGUGUCCCUGGAAAGUGCAGCCCUGGAUCUGCAGAACGCUUUUUACCAUGCCUAGACCAGCAAAUACUAUUUAACAUGUAAAUAUAGUAAAGCUUCUCUUGCAUUCCCUCCCCUCAAAAAUUAAUUUCACAUGCUGUGGCAAAAGAUUCAAAAAACCAUCUGCAAAAUGUAAUUAAAAUGCAUCUUGUGGAAAAACAGGUUAUGUAUUCAGUGAGUUUGGAGUUCUUGCCUUUUCCAUCUCUCAGAUGUGUUUAUUCUUUGCCAGCUUCUCAUUUGAAAUGUAUGUUUCAGUCCUAGUGAAUGGUAACUACAACGGAUCACAAACCUAACAGAGAAACUGCCUCUAUCUGCAAUAAAUAUCUAACUGGUAAAAUGUUGCACAGGCUUCAUUCAGACUUGUGCUGAAUAUGUGAAAUUUGCUAUCUGAUUUAUUGAUUUUUCUAUUUAAUAAAUGUUACAGAACUAUGACAUAGAGCACAUAGCCCUACUUAGCAUAAAAGAACAGUGCUUAUUGCUUUGUGGUACCAUGCAUGUGAUAUUGCACUGCUUAGUGAGCACGCUGUCUUCUAAGACUUUCAUUUGUUUGUAUUCUUAUCUAGGAUCACUCAAUUUAUGGUCUUUACUUGUUAAGUAAACCUUUUAGGUACACUACAUAUAUCUGCAUUACAGAUGCAGUUGAUCCUCAGAGGGCUCUCUGAGUGUAGUAUGUACUUUCAGGUGAAAGUUAGGCUCUUAUUUUUCUUAACAUGCAUAUGAAAAUAAAACAGCAAAAUUUUAUGAA